rnacentral:rRNA from 1 species
CCUACGGGAGGCAGCAGUGAGGAAUAUUGGUCAAUGGGCGCAAGCCUGAACCAGCCAAGUCGCGUGAGGGAUGACGGUCCUAUGGAUUGUAAACCUCUUUUGUCGGGGAGCCAGGCCCGCCACGUGUGGCGGGAAGGAGAGUACCCGAAGAAAAAGCAUCGGCUAACUCCGUGCCAGCAGCCGCGGUAAUACGGAGGAUGCGAGCGUUAUCCGGAUUUAGUGGGUUGAAAGGGUGCGUAGGCGGAAGGUUAAGUCAGCGGUUAAAUGUCGGUGCUCAACACCGGCCUGCCGUUGAAACUGGUCUUCUUGAGUGAGCGAGAAGUAUGCGGGAUGCGUGGUGUAGCGGUGACAUGCAUAGAUAGCACGCAGAACUCCGAUUGCGAAGGCAGCAUACCGGCGCUCAACUGACGCUGAGGCACGAAAGCGUGGGGAUCGAACAGGAUUAGAUACCCGGGUAGUC